rnacentral:rRNA from 1 species
UCUUUCUUUGCUGGCGACCGGCGCACGGGUGAGUAACACGUAUCCAACCUGCCCUUUACUCGGGGAUAGCCUUUCGAAAGAAAGAUUAAUACCCGAUAGCAUAAUGAUUCCGCAUGGUUUCAUUAUUAAAGGAUUCCGGUAAAGGAUGGGGAUGCGUUCCAUUAGGUUGUUGGUGAGGUAACGGCCCACCAAGCCUUCGAUGGAUAGGGGUUCUGAGAGGAAGGUCCCCCACAUUGGAACUGAGACACGGUCCAA